CAGCAGCCACGGGAAUACGGAGGGUGCAAGCGUUAAUCGGAAUUACUGGGCGUAAAGCGCACGCAGGCGGUCUGACAAGUCAGAUGUGAAAUCCCCGGGCUUAACCUGGGAACUGCAUUUGAAACUGUCAGGCUGGAGUCUUGUAGAGGGGGGUAGAAUUCCAGGUGUAGCGGUGAAAUGCGUAGAGAUCUGGAGGAAUACCGGUGGCGAAGGCGGCCCCCUGGACAAAGACUGACGCUCAGGUGCGAAAGCGUGGGGAGCAAACAGGAUUAGAUACCCGUGUAGUCCCUGUCUCUUAUAC
rnacentral:rRNA from 1 species